AACCCAACCCAGAAUCCCACAGCUACCAGUGACCUGGUCCAGAACCUCACAGCUCAGACUGGAGCGACUGUUAGUGCUCCUGUUCUUCAGAGCAAUGUGAUUCAUGGCCCAGUUACUAUUAUCACUGGAUCUGACUCUAAUCAUGAAGGAAGAGACAGAAGAGAAGAGGUAGUGGGAAAGACUGCAGGAGCCUCCACUACAGGUGAUGCA